GACGUAGGGCGCGAGCGUUGUCCGGAUUUAUUGGGCGUAAAGAGCGUGUAGGCGGCCAGACAAGUCUGCUGUGAAAACUCGAGGCUCAACCUCGAGCUGUCGGUGGAAACUGUCUGGCUAGAGUCCGGAAGAGGAGAGUGGAAUUCCUGGUGUAGCGGUGAAAUGCGCAGAUAUCAGGAAGAACACCGGUGGCGAAGGCGGAUCUCUGGGCCAUUACUGACGCUGAGGAGCGAAAGCGUGGGGAGCGAACAGG
rnacentral:rRNA from 1 species